AGUGAACGCUGGCGGUAGGCCUAACACAUGCAAGUCGAACGGCAGCAUAGUAAGAGCUUGCUCUUACGGGUGGCGAGUGGCGGACGGGUGAGGAAUACAUCGGAAUCUACUUUUUCGUGGGGGAUAACGUAGGGAAACUUACGCUAAUACCGCAUACGACCUACGGGUGAAAGCAGGGGAUCUUCGGGCCUUGCGCGAUUGAAUGAGCCGAUGUCGGAUUAGCUAGUUGGCGGGGUAAAGGCCCACCAAGGCGACGAUCCGUAGCUGGUCUGAGAGGAUGAUCAGCCACACUGGAACUGAGACACGGUCCAGACUCCUACGGGAGGCAGCAGUGGGGAAUAUUGGACAAUGGGCGCAAGCCUGAUCCAGCCAUACCGCGUGGGUGAAGAAGGCCUUCGGGUUGUAAAGCCCUUUUGUUGGGAAAGAAAAGCAGCAGGUUAAUACCCCGCUGUUCUGACGGUACCCAAAGAAUAAGCACCGGCUAACUUCGUG
rnacentral:rRNA from 1 species